AUGUUCAUGGACUUGGAGAGGCAGUCCGGGAGUCCAUUCUCCCCCUUAAAAGCUAUGUAGUCAAGAAGGUCAAUGCCGACACGAUCAACAAAUUAUCAGGAAAGAACCUGGAAUUAGACCUUCAGGAAACCCAUAUUCAUGUGUGAAAUGGAAAAAUAUUCUCGCCUAGAGCUCAGGGGUGUCUUGAGAAGUUUCUGCCCUGUCCCUGUGGAAUAUACAAGACACAAAGCUUUCUUAUAUUAAAAAGGUGAAUUUUGAAAAGUAAGCUCGGAUGGAUGAGAGUCAUCAAACACAAAACUAUGGCUCCUAGGAACAAAACUGUUUCAAUGACGAUUGUUUGUUAUACUGGGAACAGACCAGAGAGAAUACAAAGUUAUCAUCUCGGAGUGUCCCUUCAGUAAUCAUCUUGAGCAUCAAGAUGAAAUCAGAUGUAAGCUGAUGUCUUUGCACAGUUCUGGGAGGAUUAGAAAUGUAUCCUUUAUGAUUCAGCUACAACAGUUGCUUUGGAAUACAUUUGAAAACCCCACAACAGUUUUCUUAAUGAUCAAAAAUUAACAAGGAAUACCAUAAAACAUUUUUCAGCCUCAUAAAAAAUAGAUUGCGUAUAAACUGUACUUCAAAAUGACACUAUCAAUAUUUUAGUUUGAGUUUCAGUUUUUUGUUUCCAAAACGUUUUAAAGAAUUCAAUGUAACAUCUUGAAAAUGAAUUUUAUCUGAGCAUAAUUUAAAAAAAAAUCGACUUUCCACAAAUAGUUUAUAAUAACACUAACAAUAUUCUUUUAAAUUUUUCUAUGUGUAUUGUGUCUGUCUGCAUGUGUAUGAAAUGGAUGUAUAGAUGCCCUAGAAGCCCUGAAGGACAGAAGGUCCCCUGAAGCUGGAGCUCUAGGCAGCCAUGAGCUGGGACCUGAACCCAGGACCUUGGGAGGAGCAGCAAGCUCCUUUAGUUGCCAAGCCUUCUCUCCAACCCCUUUAACAAAAUCCUUUCUUAUCCAGUCUCAUCAAUUCAUUUACAAUUAUGACUAUUAAACUACAUGUAAUGAUUAGGUAUUCUGGCAACACAGUAUUAAGCAAAAUAUUACUAAUUUGUCAAUCCUUUCCAUUGUAGGAUGAUAUAGUUCUGUAUAGUGUUAGGGAAACAAUGUAGGAAGUUUUCUUUUUUCAUAAUAUCAAUUGGUUCUUAUUCCCAUGUGAGUAAAACAGGAAGAAGACAUUUUUUUCUAGGCUAGUUUGAAAUCUUUUUCAAUGCUGGUCCAUAUUUUGUGUGUUAGAAUUUUAUCUGUUUGUUCAUUUGGCAUAGUCAACAGAUGGCGAUGACAUGGUAGUAACUCUCUCCCACUUAAACUGAUUUUUAAAUGUACUUAUUCCAAAAUUGCCAGUGAUAAAAUAAAAAAGAUCACAGACAAAUA
rnacentral:lncRNA from 1 species